rnacentral:lncRNA from 1 species
UUUUCUCUUUUUUUUCUCCUUUUCUUUUUAUUUUAAGACUAUGAUCGAAUCCUAUGGGGAUUGCCUACGCAUCAUGACGUCGCAUGAAUCAGAUCAUUACGUAGUUCAAGGAUAUAAAUGCGAAAUGAAAGAAAAGGAAAUUUUUUGGGUUUUUUAAUAUUUCAUUAAUAAAAGACAUCUUUUUAGAUUUUCUAUUACAAGGACUUAAAAGUAGUGAUGACUACAAAAGAAAAUCUACAGACUCAAAAUAAAGAAAUAAACAACCUUGACAAAGACGAACAAAACUCGAGAAAAAGUAAAAUACAGACUCAAAGACUGAAAAAUCAAAAAUACAUAAGAAUCUCCACUGGUACUCCGGGGGCCUGUGGGACAUCAGCCGGUCUCCGUACGGGCCUACAGGCAAUAUCUUCUUGAAGAUGGUCUAGGUCAACCAUCACCUGGCGAACGAAUGUCAUCACAGAAGCAAAAAUAUAUAGACCUGGUCAUGUCUUCGCAUUCAUGGUAUUUUAUUACAACAUAAUCAACUAUCUCUUUAAUCCUCAUUCUGAUGACGCCCUUUUCUUGAAGUAGACGUCCAAUCUGCUGGGCCCGAGCUUCUAACACUUGUGUAUCUGUGUUGUUUUGGUCUUGUAACUGCUGCAUGCUUUAUUGUAGUUGGUAAAUCAAUGCGUAGCAAUUCUCUCUUUCUGCCUUGAAAUCCUUUGUUUGCUUGACCAUUUCAUUUUCCAGGGCAACCAACUUUUUCUGUAAAAUUGCUACUUCUUUGUCAUAUUCUGCUUCAACUGGUGGGCUAAUCUAGCAUGUUCUUCCGCACUUUUGACCAACUUUGCUUGAGCAUUUAACAAGUCUCUUUCGGCAUUUGUCAAGUCAAAACCAUAAUCAUGCACUUUCCGCCUUAGGUUGGUUAUAAUUUUCUCAUCUCUCUCACUUCUUACCGGUGUCUCGGCGGCUAUUUUUAUUUUCUGGAUUUGGUCUCGAAGGGCUUCAUUUUCCCUAGUCAACUUCUUAUUUUUCCCUUCAUCUUCAGCUGCCUACAAACUACGAUCAAAUUUGAUUUUUUCAACUUGCUCUUCUAGUUUGCUUAUAGUAGUCCGAUAUUCCUUUUCUUUAGCUAACCAAACCCACUGCUCAUGCGAUGCAUCGACAAAUUCUUGGAUAUGAUGUCUUUUAGUCGGCCGUUCCGAUUCACCAUUCGUCGCGCCUCUUUUUCCAUACCAGGUAACAUAACUAGGUAAGACCUCGCCCCUAGACAAAUCACGUACUCGGGUGUUUGCCCCCAAAUACUAGCAUUCACUCCAAAUUUGGCGAACCACUUCUUCAGGAAAUUGGGCAUCAGAGCGAAUUUCGACCACAUAAGUGCUAAGAUCUUCAUCUAUAGGAACUAUCUAGCUUCUACCAAGUUGUCUCAAAACCCGGUACGAAGCAUAUAGUUGGAUGCUUCAGAGACCCAUUAGCAAGAAGUAGGGACCAGUGGCGGGCAUAUAAACAAUCUCAUCAACGGGAAGCCAACCCAAUGUCCACUCUAUCUGAUCCGCAGUUGUAGAUCGAAGGAGGGUAAUCCAAUCUUUGACCCCUUACGGCAUUUCGAAUCCUGUUACUCGUGUACCAAACUCUUCAAUGCAGUUUUUCCCCGUAGACCCAUAGUUCAUGUAUCGAGGACGGUGACAAAGGUGCUCAAUCAUCCACAUUUGCAACAGCAGAUUGCAUCUCUCGAAAAACCUGACUCCGGCCUUACAGAAUGUGAGGGUUCGGAAUAUAUCUGAUACGAUCAUGGGCGCGAGGGUACUUUUGGCCUGAGUAGUCAGAACGUGGAUAACCCUAGCUAUCCAUAAAUCAAUAUGGCCGUCUUCCCUUGGAAACACCAAAAGGCCUAAAAACGCCACCAUGAAGGCAAAACAUCUAUGGGUCUCCCAUUUUGAUCGGUUUCCUUUACUGCAGAGUCUAUUUUCCGGGUCUUCGAAUCCCCUUAAAUGCCCGUAUCGCUGGUAUAGAAAAUGAAAAGUGGAAAUUCCACCUGCUAGACUUCCAGUCUUGAUUUGUCUGCUUAUUUUUAGUAAGUCCAGAAACUUGUGGGGAGUAACAGUCCUUGGAGAUACCAGGUACUUGUGUCUUAAUCCGUCCGUGCUCCCAGUAUAACCCGCCAUUUCUUCCAAAGUAGGCGUAAGCUCAAAAUCUGAGAAGUGCAAAACAUUAUGAGCGGGGUCCUAGAAUGCCACUAAUGCCUCUAUCAGGUCCCUUCUGGGUUGAAUUUUCAAUAGUCCAAUGAGCGCCCCCAGGUAUUGGUUGACCAUGUCUCGUCCUUGUUUUCCCAAAUCCUCCCACCACAUGUGGAGUGCUCGUGGAAUCUGAUCCAUAACCUUCACAGGUAAAUUCUGAACAGUGCUCAUUCUGCACAUUUUUAAAUUAGGGCGACCAGAUUAAAACAUGUGAAUUUUGUUUAAAACUAACCAUGAAAAGAUUAUUUUUGCAAAAUCCAACAGAAAACAAAUCACGGCUACUUUUGCAAAUAUGGCCCUUCAGCACUUCGGAAGAGAAGAUUUUAGGGUUGUGUUUGCUAAGUGGCCAAAUGUUUUUUUUAAAAAACCAUGAGUGGCUAUUCUUGCAAAAACAGCCUUCCGGCGUCCCGUCGGGACAUUUCUGACUAUUUGGACAAAAGGCGGCAUCACCUAACUUUAUUUAAGACACAACAACGACAUUUUCAUACUUUUUGGUUAUUUUUUGCAAAAGCGGGGCUAGACCCGAUGAAGGUUGCCUACGUAUCUCACAUCCGGUGAGAAUCAAACCCGUGUAGUUCGGUAAGUUUUGACGCAACAGAAAAAUAUAACUUAUUUUCAAAUGACUUUCUUUUUUUAUUAAAAAAUAUUUCGGCAAAGUUUCGGGAUAUUUUGAAUAACAGGGUUUCAGAACCGGGUGAUUUUCUCUUCCACCUCACUCUUGUUUUUCUCGAUUUUCUUUCCCUAUUCUAGAAGCCGGUCGACAUGCAAGCCGAAAUAAAUAAAUGCACAAGUAGCACGUAAAAAUGCAUCAGGAUGGUCUUUUAAAUUGGGUGCACCUGUCCUAAACGGACCCAACCCCUAUGUUGAGUCCCUAAAGUCAAAUGCACGUGAUGCAAACAAACGUACCUAGUAGGAUCCCGCAUGAGGUUAUGUCAUUCUAAGUUUAAAUCCUGGGUGUAUUGUUCUAGACCUGGGGAGGGGGGGGGGCAACGUACCGGUAACCAAAAGGCCAUCCGACUUUGUAACUGAUCCGAUUCUCGUUCUAAAUUAGGGUAUGACACUAACAGAAAAGAAGUCACGCCAACGUGAACUUCCCAGAAGAUUUAGAAAACUUAGAGAGAAGAAGGGUUUCGUAACAGUUCAUAUACAGUUCAAGCAAUAUCAAAGCGGUAAAAAGCGGUAUUUAGCACAUUAGGCUCAAACACGUAAAAAAAAAUAGAUAAUAAAUAAAAGCCAACUAUAACAGUCAUUCUAAGCUCGAAUUCUGAACCCUGAACUAGAGAUUCUGGGUUCGGGUCCCCAGCAGAGUCGCCAGAGUUGUCACACCUCCUUUUUUUUCGAGGGAUAGGGGAUAGGGGAGUUUUUCCAAUUAAAAUGACAUUAAUCGAAAUGAGAUUAUUUAUUUGAUUCAGAGUCGCCACUUGGAAUAAUUUAUGGUGUCCGAAGUCACCGGUUUAUUUUAAAUCCCAAAUUGAGAAAAUUGACUCUAUUUUAUGAUCCGCGAAUACAGAAGACCAAGUAAGGAAUUCUGUUAACCCGGAAGAAGGUUUGAGGAACUCCCGAGUUCCGUAAUUUUAGCACGGUCGCUUAACAAUUAAUACUUGGCCUAAUUAUCUGAUUUAAUACAUGUUUAAAAUCUAUUAUGCAUUUUUAAUUUUUUAGCCGCUUUUAAUAUUUAUGAAAUUAUUUUUGAACAAGUCGCGAUGUCGCACACUCGUUUGUUUUUGUACACAUUGCGAAUCACGCCACGUGAAACGCACCCGCGAUUUACGACAUAUUUAUUUUUAUUACUAUUUGAAGUUGUGGUCGAGUCACGUGAAACGCACACUCGAAUUGGGGAUUAUGUAUCAUGACUAUGCCACGGGAACCGUACCCAUAGUCACGAUGAUUUUAUUAAUCGCGCCUAAAGCAAACUACGAUGUUUAUGAGUUUAAAUAUUUUUCUAAGGUUUAAGAUUACAUGGAGGUCCGGAAUUAUGGAGUGAUUUGUGGACAAAGUCUGCAAUUAGCUAAACGGAAUUCGAGCUAUUGACGAGUUAACACUUCCAGUCAUUAAAUUCGUUUAUGGGUUGAAUACGUUUGGGAUUACUCAAUUUCAAGAGAAAGUAGUCAAUUAAUGAUGAAAGGGAGAUCUAAAAUGAGGGACGAUAGUAUUGGACUUCAUAUUCUUUCAACUUGGGCCCAGAAACAGGCCCUAAAUAUUAUUGUAAAUAAAAGAAUUCCUCCAAUCCACCCUCAAAUCCAUUAUUGAUAUCAUUACAUUGUAAAUAAAAGGUACGAGCAGUUUGUUUCCUUACAAAUAAGGGGAAAAGACUACUGAAGUUUCUUCCUCAUACUUUCCCUUGGUGUUAGUGAUUUCAUUAUAUGUUAAUAAACCACUUUUAACAAAUUGAGAGAAAAUGGACUUUAUCCGACUUAAAGAAACAAAACAGUGAUUACUUACCUAUGCUACUUCCCAAAUCUUAGCAUAAUAGAGUCACUGACUAAACGAAUAAAUCAACAAAGUUUGUAUAUUUAACAUACACCUAUAUUCACGCUAUGUGUGUAUCUUUGGAUCAUAGAAAUAAGCUUAUCAAAUUUCAGAACUACGAUUUACUAAGCAUUUAACGUUGGAUGAGAAUCCAGCAUAAAGACUAAGACCAUAACAUAUUUAUACACUACAUGAAAACUUAUGUACCAAGUUCAAGUCUAGAUCUACUAAUAACAGACACAAUAUGAUACUGGUUAGCAAGAAAAAGAAUUAAACAUCUUGACGAAAUACAAGAAAUAACAGCUGAAAAUGACUGAUUCCAUUAAUUUCAAAGCACACAUAUCUUCAUAUCCGAUUUGUAGCCCAAGGUUCAAAAGGAGUGUACCUGGACAGUAAAGCAACAAAAUAGAAAAUAAAUAUCUGAAAUUGGAAUGAAGCAACAGCAAUCAGAAGAACAGCAGCAGAAAAUAGCUUCAAAUCUCAGUCCAAAAUCAACUUUGAGGAAGACAAAACUUGUAUAAAGAUGUAGCAGAAAUCACAAGCAACUUUGAAAACUCUUUCUAUGAUUUUGAUUUCUGGUAUUUUCAAACAUAAAACCUAAACUUUCUAGCUACUUUCUCUUUUUUCUGUCUGAGCCCGUGUGCCUUUUUUUUUAGAGUGAAUGUGCAAACAAUUUUCCUUCCGUAAAUGAGAGGAGGAGUCCCUUUAUAGAAUGUGAGCAUGUGCUAUAUGUGAGGGAGAGGAGGUGUGGGAAUAUUCUGUCAGCUUUCCCUAAAAAUCAGGGAAUUGGUAUCUUUUGCAACUGAAAUGGACAGCUGUCCAAUUCCAGAAAUUCCUUCAAACUCCUAUCCUAAACUACUCUCCAAGACUUUGUAUUUUACACUUAGUAACCAAACUAGGUAUGGGCCUCCCAGCCAGUAAGCCCAACCAAACGAAAAAAAAAUAAUCAAAACUUAACCAAACAGGCCCAAACGUCUUCAAUCAGAAGAAACAAAUAAUUCAAAAGUAAAACAGAGAAUAAUCUGAAAUGAGGUGAUGGAUUUUUCUCGAUUAAUUAGUAAACAAGCAACAUUAAACUCAAAAUCACCUAGCCAAAAUAAUUAAUCUUAAAUAGCUAAAACUAAUUAACACAUAAACUAACAAUUAAAUUCGAUUAACAGCAAUAACCUAAUAGAUAUGAAAAUCAUUGACUAACUAGUUAAAAUUAGUUCAAUUAACCUAGAAUUUACGCAAUUAACCUAUUAAAUUCAACUAACUUUAAACAAACUAAAAAUUAAUUCAAAUAAAGAAAUAAGAAAAAGAAAAGGAGAAUCAAUAGAAAAGAGAGGAAGGGUACUAAUUUUGGCCGGAAUGAAUCGACGAAUCGAAGCGGCUCGAUGCACGAUGAAAGCGACGAAGUUGGCCGGUCAAUGGUGACUUGGCCGGAAUCCGGCGACUCUCGGAAUGAAUCAAAACUAACGUUAAUCAAUUAUUCUUAACAAGAACAAUUGCUUAACGCAAGUCUCGAGUUAAAUCGAGCCUUGAACACACAAAAAUCAGAUUAAGAGCGGCUUAGGUUUUUUUUUUUGGUUGAAAUAUCAGAUUUGAAAUUAACAAAAGUGGGUGGGGAGGGGGAGGGGGGAGGGUAGGGGAAAAUAAUGGUAGGAUGGGGAUUAUAGGGUGUUGGGGAUUAUGUGGUGUGAAAUUGGAGGUGGGCCGCCGCCGUGAGGCGAUUUCCGGCGGGCGGCGGCCGGUGGUGAUAGGCGGAGGGUGAGAGAGGUGAAAGUGGGGGGUUAGUUCUGAGGGGUUGGGGGUCUUUAGGACAGUUUUAAAGGGGUGUGUGAGGAGUUCUAGGCUGUCCGAUUAAGUAAGAUGAAUGGUUGAGAUUAAAAAGGGGUAAUGGGUCGGGUUGAUGGGUUUGGUCGGCGGGUCAUGGGUUCAGGGGUGUGUAGGUGUUGGGUUGGGCGGAUUUGGGCCCAGAAAUCGUUAAGGCCUAAAUUUGGGACCAAACAAUUUUAUUUUAUUUUUUAAAUUUUAAAUCCUAAUAAAAUUAAUUAAAAAUCUAAAUUAAGUCCUAAAUCAAUCUAAUUUGUAGAAAUAAACUUAGUUAUCUAUUUUACCAUUUAAAUAAUUAAUUAAUUUAAACUAAUGAAAGAAAAAUUACUACUUUGCAAUUAAAAGCUAAAAUGUAAAAAUGAACCAUAUUUUUUGUGAUUUUUGUUUAAUAAUGCAAUUAAAUACUAAAUGCAAUUAAAUCUAAGAUGCUAUGCAAGGAAUACUUUAAAUAUUUUUGGUAUUGUUUUGUAAUUUUAAAUAUUAAAAUGCAACUAAAUGCAAACAAAAAUUAACCAGAAAGUCCUAAAAUUCAAUAAAAUUAAAAUAAUUAGAAAAAUCUAUUUUUGUAAAUUUUAUAGGAGUAUUUUCAGUCGGGCAAAAAUUACGUGCUCACAGUGGUGCUAUGAUAUCUCGGGCUGGGGAGUAUACAUGCGAUACAAAAAAAUAUAUAUCUGGAAUAUUUCUAAAAUUAUUAUAUAUUUAAAAUUCCGACCGAUUUCGGUCGGUAUUUUGAAAAUUAAAUUAAUUUUUUUUAGUUAAUACCGACCGAUUUCGAUCGGUAAAUGUAGUUUGACUGUCAGUCAACACAUUGAAAUUUUUGACGGAUUUCGGUCAAAACACCUUAGCGACCAUUAUUUUUCCGACUAAUUAAAAUCGGUCGCUUUUUCUCAAUUUCCUACCGAUUUCGGUCGGUUUUCCUGGACGAAAUUAGCCAAUUUUUAGUAGUGUAAAGCUUUGGAAAGGGGGAAAAAUGUAACGGGAAGGCUCUAACAGGCGCAGAAAAAAAUUGUAAUGGGAAGGAUACUAGCCAACCUUGACUCAUUUCUCAUCGAAUUGAAUUGUAUAAAAGCUCAAGACUAGAGGUCAUCGUGUUCAGAGACGAAUAUAUGAUCUAGAGUCAACAUGUUGAGAAUAUUCGAUGUGAUUUAUCUUACUAUUUGUGCAUAGUUUUAUUUUCUUUCCACAUAAAUAUACUUGAUUCGAAAUAACAAAUCGUCUUAUCUUGUCUGGGCUUCUCCAUACAUGAACUACAAUGGGCAUUUGGACACUUAACGCCACCUUACGGAAUAGUGCAUGAAACUAAAAGAGCAUGUUUUUUUUUAAUUAUUAUCUAUAAUAGAGAUAAUAUUUAUUUGUAAAAAAACUAGAUACUAUUACAAACUUUGACCUUCCUAGUUCCUAGGGAUAAGUUUCCUAAUUUGGUGUUGUUCAUAAGAAUAUAAUACCAAAAGAGGGCGGUAAAUCAUAAUACAAAAGCAAAUAAAAACAUUUGCUCCGAUGCUUAGCUAGCUCCAAGAUUGAUUUUCAUUUGCUUUUCCUCUUAUUUGUAGUGUAUAUAUUGCUUUAAAUCCAAGGUCUAUCAAUUCAUGGUACGUUGAAGCAUUCAACUAUUAUUGGCACAAUUCAUAUUGAUGGGGUUACCCCCAAACUUAUCAGAAGCUCUAUAACAUAUAUCAUUGAAACCCCCACCCCCAACCAGUCAAGCCUCUGUGAAGAUAUCAUCUAUAUCUUUUAUAUUAUUUCAAAGAAUAUUUCAAUGAGUUUAAGUUAUAUAUGUUAAUAAUAUAGAAAAUUUCUAUACUAGCAGGUCACUUUACUUGUUGCUGCGAUAAUUUUUCUUAUUACCACGAUUGCAAUUUACACAUUUUAAAGAGGCUUACCUGUACUACUAAACAUAUCUUUUGGGUUGACCUGAUAAUGUAAAAUUAUCUUUAUGCUGACGAUGUAUAUAUAUAACUUAAAUUCUAUUUCUAUUAUGAACAUCAAUAUAUAGGUUUCGUUAACAUUAAUUGAAAACAACAAAGGACUGGGCUCGAGGGUAGCGCCGUGAUCUCAUUUGAUCGAGCUGCACUUUCGAGUUGUUCCAAAAGACAGCUAUUCCUCCAGAGUUUCCAAUAGCAGGUGGUUGCAGCAUGUUUGAAUAAUAGCUAUAGUCAUUCAUUAUAAAACUAUGAUCCUCCAAAUUAACCAGUCUCCAAAAGUGCUACCAUAACUGGUUUGUAAUUAUUAUGCAUUGAUAUAAAUUUCCUUCAAAACUCAGGACUAUUGGCUCCCGGGCAAUUCCAAAUUACAAAAUUCAUACUUAUACUUGUGUUGGUCGAGCUUCUCUUCCAAUGUCAGCUUGGAGCUCAGUUGCUCCGACAUAAUCCCUACAUUAUUAUUCCCUGCUUGAGUUGAUGUUGCAACAUUUUUCUCAGUUGGUAUCAUUACUACCGCGUAUUUAUAACGAAGAUCACGGAUUCGAAUGUUCAGCGAGCAUAUCCAGAGAGUUGGUGGACAACCUAGAACAAAUUUCUUUUCUCUUAGGCAACUUAAGUUUCGAAACUCCAGUGUUCUUUUCCAUAAGGCUGACUUCCUCCUCUUCCUCCUUGAUUUUAUUCUGUGAAUCAUAUACUUUUGAUACUCAAUAAUAAUAACAUAGGUUGUGCUAUGAGCAAUACAAUGGUUAUAAAAAUAACAUAGGUUGUGCCGAGCCUAUAGAUCAAAGAAGAGUUGAUGUAGUAUUGCACAGGCAACGUAACAGUGGCAUGCAACUGCGCAUCACAUUAAAUUGCUUAAGUACGUACAUGUAGCUCAUUGCAUUCGUUGUUCAUAGGAUACACUACCAAGGAAAGGAAUAUUUUGGAAAAUUAACUUAAAUAUUUAUAUAGGAGGUUUGUGAAUGUAUAAUAUGGUAAGUAAUUGUACUACUAUAUCAAGGUAAGUAACUAUUCUAAAAUGGGUAUUUAUAACGCAGAAAUACAAAACACUAGCUAAAUAACGUAAGUUUGAGCGCUCCCUAAUUUAGAUAAUUAUCUUUUACACCUAACAAGUUAAGUAACUAUACUACAAUUAAAGAUAGAACAUAUUACAAUAUCUUAUGCACUAGUACGUUCAAUGAAUCUAGACUUAUAUAUCUGAAUCUAAAUAGAUUCUGUCCUUUUCCCCCCUUCAAAUUCCAAUGUCCGGUUCUUCACCGCACCCUUCGGUGAUAACAUAUUACUAUAUGUUAACACCACGAUAUUAAUUUAUCAUGGUUAAGUAAUAAAUUAAUGUGAGAGUACGUAUUAGUUAAUAAUGAUUAAGUGGUAAAAAGUGUACCAAAUACGUAUUUCAUAUAUUUACUAGUUGGAUGUAAAAUCUGAGUAUGAAUAAAAUAACUUCCAUAAGGGUAGUAAUAUACUUAAAGCACUAGGUGCAAAAUCUACCUUUUUGUUUUCGAUAUUUAUGCAUAGACAUAGGCAAUCCAAAAAGAGACAUAACAAGAUAACAUUUUCAAUGACUAUAACUUGACAAACUGUAAAAUAACAUGAUCUCAUAUACCACAAUAUUGUUCAAAUGCUAUAUAGCACAAUUCAUGACCUAGUAUAGUCCUUCAGAAUUGAAAACCUCUUUUCUGCUUUCUAAACAAAACAAAAUAUUCAUUAUACAUGACCCCAAGUGCAAAGCUUAUCACCAAAAAUUGACAGCCAGACACCUAGAUUGGUAUAUAGUUUCUAGGACGAUUCAAUUAUCAGACUUCAUCUGCAAAAUACUCGAUCUAUUAAUGCUGCACCUUUUUGUUUGAUAACUUCGAUUGCUUCACUAAUUCUUCAUCAAAAUGCAUCUGAAUUGCACGGCAUUCUUCUUUGCAGAAUGCAAGAGACCUGUGUUAUCAAUAUAGUGCGUGAAAAUUAAUUACAAAAUUAAAGCUCAUAAAAAUUCAGGUAAGAUUUAUAUUUUAGCUCGAAUCCUAUAUGUGUGUGAGAAAAAUAUGAACAAAUAAAAUAAGAUUUAUAUUUCAAAGCACACGUAUAGUACAACAUUAUGGGACUACCAGAAAUCAGUAAUGUUAGAUUGAAAAACUAAAUCAGAAGUAGACUCAUGACAGAUUGAGAAAAUAAAAUAUAUGCUCACUCAAUACCACUUUACGUGGCACUAUUACUGUUUGGAGAGUGAAAAAUAUACAUUUUUCUUGAACGUAAUUUUUUAAAAAUUACUUUGAAUUAUUAACUAAUAUGAGUUAUAACACUAUUUAUGUAAUUUCUAAGUUUUAUUUGGAAAAAACUGGAAGAUUUUAUGUCAGAAUUCACUGUUUCGAAAGGAGUACAUACUAGUCAAGCUGCAGAAGUACAAAAGAUGUUCGAAAAUACCGAAGCAUGUUAGAAACGCUGAUAAAAAUUACUCCUGAUCAGUCUAAUCAACUCGAAUGAUAUUAAAAAAAUUCACAAAAAAACAUAUAGAUAGACUAGGUAGGAGAAUGCCAGUACAAGAACUGCAGAUAGAAGUACAAAAAAAUGUAAGAUUUAUAUUUGAAAAGCGCACACACUCAAUAUUUAAAUUCUGGAUCUGCCGAUGUACACGGGCAGAUGAUUCAAGCAAGAUUAGUAAUCAAUCCAAUCACAUAUAAGAAAAAUCACAAAAGAAAGUGUGUGUAUNNNNNNNNNNNNNNNNNNNNNNNNNNNNNNNNNNNNNNNNNNNNNNNNNNNNNNNNNNNNNNNNNNNNNNNNNNNNNNNNNNNNNNNNNNNNNNNNNNNNNNNNNNNNNNNNNNNNNNNNNNNNNNNNNNNNNNNNNNNNNNNNNNNNNNNNNNNNNNNNNNNNNNNNNNNNNNNNNNNNNNNNNNNNNNNNNNNNNNNNNNNNNNNNNNNNNNNNNNNNNNNNNNNNNNNNNNNNNNNNNNNNNNNNNNNNNNNNNNNNNNNNNNNNNNNNNNNNNNNNNNNNNNNNNNNNNNNNNNNNNNNNNNNNNNNNUAUAUAUAUAUAUAUAUAUAUAUAUAUAUAUAUAUAUAUAUAUAGGGGAGAGAGAGAAUUGAAUACCUAUACAUGAAGAUGUUUUUAUCUGACUGAAUACUCGUUUUGCAAAAGUAGCACUCCUUGAGAAAAUCGCCAGGACUCUGCUGACACGGCUUCAUACCAACACCAACAAAUGGCUUAACAGGAGAAGAAACAACAAAAGAUGGCUUGAAAAACUUGUUUGGAUUUUGAGUAGAUGAAUUUCUAGAGUAACUGGGAUGGUCGAAGCUAUCAGAGCGGCUAACUCGAGAUCGUUUGAAUGACAUUAUAGUUUAGGGUUUUUAGAAAAGGAAAAAAACAAAAACAAAAACCAGCUAGGGUUUAAAGGGAGAAAGAAUCGGGUCUGUAAAAGGAAGAAUUUAAUGGGGAAUGUGAAGAACUAGUGUUGGAAGUGAGAACACAGGCAAAAAAACGGCGAGUAUUUAUAGGGUAUUGUUUGCCUUGUCUUCCUCUUCUAUAAGGAAUAAUUUUUUAAGACCAUUAGUUACUAACUAAAUUCAAUUUUGGUCAUUGUGAAUCUGAUUAAGCAAUAUAAUAUAAUCUUCAUUGUAUUUUCUUUGACUUUCAAUUAACUUUUAUAUUCAAUUUUGGAUUUUAAUGAAUUCUUAUUAAUUUAACGUUCGCAACUGGACUCUUCUUUGACUAGAAGAAAUCCACCAGGUUAAAAUCCGCUUAUUCUUUGAGAUGACUGUCACACCUCCUUUUUUCCCGAAGGGGAAUAAUGGAGUUUUUUCAAUUAAAGUGACGUUAAUCUAAAUGGGAUUAUUUAUUUAUCAGAGUCGCCACUUGGAAUAGUUGUUAUAGUGUCCCAAGUCACCGGUUUAUUUUAAAUCCCAAAUCGAGGAAAUUGACUCUAUUUUAUGGUCCGCGAACACAGAAGAAUUCUGUUAACCCAGAAGAAGGUGUGAGACACUCCCGAGUUCCGUGGUUUUAGCACGGUCGCUUAACAAUUAAUACUUGGCCUAAUUAUCUGAUUUAUUACAUAUUUAAAGCCUAUUGUGCAUUUUUACUUUUUAACCGUUUUUAAUUAUUUAUGAAAUUAUUUCUGGAAUAAGUCACGAUGUCGUACACUUGUCGUUUUGGCACACGUCGCAAACCGCGCCACAUGAAAUGCACCCGCGAUUUACGACAUGCUUAUUUUUAUUAUUAUUGUUUGAAGUUGAGGUCGAGUCACGUGAAACGCACACUCGAAUUGGGGAUUACGUAUCAUGACUAUACCAUGGGAACCGUACCCAUAGUCACGAUGAUUUAUUAAUCGCGCCUAAAGCAAACUACGAUGUUCGAGUUAUUUAUCAUAUAUUAAUUUGAGAUUAUUGUAAGGCCAUGGAUUAUGAAAGUUGUAGAAAAGAAGCAAAUUAGUUGAUGGAAUAAACAUGCUAGCAUGUUCCUUCUCGUUAUUAACCGAACCCAAAAUCCAACUUCAAUUUUUCUUAAAAAAAUCAACCUACGGCUUAAAAAUGCUCUUAUUAAGAGUCGAAUUAACAUAAGAAAGGUAAAAAAAAAAAAUAACAGAAAUUAUCCAAAGCUCGAAUCAUUUAAUUUUGAGUUCUCUGCCACGAACAAUUUGUCUCAAGAAACCAAAACCUCUCUUUUGCUUUUAAAUCCAAACAUUGUCAUGGCUUAACCAAACAGAUCGUAAUCAAUGAAAAUCCAAACAUUUGCAGCCACAUUUUCAUAAACUAAUUAAUUCAUGUAUGCUCCCAAAUAACGCAUCAACAGAAACUUUAACAUAAAUAAACUAAAUUAAGAAAGUUCUAGACAAACAACAGAAUAAUCACACGGCAUUCAUAAUCAUCGGAGAUUAAUAGAGAGGAAACUUAUCAGAGAAAGAAAUUGACCUCAAAGAGUGACAGCUUUUCGAUUACAGUAGCCGUAUAUGAGUGGAAACCCGGAUUGAAAAACCCCGACGGAAACAGAAAUUCGAACUUAAGACCGGAAUCGCACUGGCAAUCCCGAACGAAAAACCUGCCGGCGACCUCGACUUCGAGCACAGAGCUUCAAUGUAAGAUUUCGGAGAUAAAAAUGGUGGCCUCCAUUACUCGUCCGUUUCCCCUCUACUGUAUCUACGUGUGUGUGGGGCUGAGUGUUGUUGGGUUGAGAGAAUGAGAGGGUGGUGGCAGAAGCUG